AUUCAGACGACAGAGAAGAUUACAGAGAAUUGGAACCUUACAGAGAAGAUUAGCACAGCCCCUGAGCAAGGAUGACACGCACAAUUUGAGGAAUGGUUCAAAUUUUU